GUCGAACGGUUCAUAGGCCUUCGGGCUUAUGGAUAGUGGCGGACGGGUGAGUAACACGUAAGCAACCUGCCCCGAAGUGGGGAAUAACUGACCGAAAGGUUAGCUAAUACCGCAUGUGAUGGCGUUUCCCUGGAGACGUCAUUAAAGGCUUCGGUCGCUUCGGGAGGGGCUUGCGGUCGAUUAGCUAGUUGGUGGGGUAAUGGCCUACCAAGGCAACGAUCGAUAGCUGGUCUGAGAGGACGGACAGCCACACGGGGACUGAGAUACGGCCCCGACUCCUACGGGAGGCAGCAGCUAGGAAUCUUGGGAAUGGGCGAAAGCCUGACCCAGCAACGCCGCGUGGGCGAUGAAGGCCUUAGGGUCGUAAAGCCCUUUUGAGGGGGAAGAUGAUGACGGUACCCCUCGAAUAAGCCACGGCUAACUACGUGCCAGCAGCCGCGGUAAUACGUAGGUGGCAAGCGUUGUCCGGAUUUACUGGGCGUAAAGGGCGUGCAGGCGGUUUGUUAAGUCUAGGGUGAAAGCUCCCGGCUCAACUGGGAGAGGUCCUUGGAUACUGGCAGACUUGAGGAGAGUAGAGGAGAGUGGAAUUCCCGGUGUAGUGGUGAUAUGCGUAGAUAUCGGGAGGAACACCAGUGGCGAAGGCGGCUCUCUGGGCUCUACCUGACGCUGAGACGCGAAAGCGUGGGGAGCGAACCGGAUUAGAUACCCGGGUAGUCCACGCCGUAAACUAUGAACACUAGGUGUGGGGGGUAUCGACCCCCUCCGUGCCGAAGCUAACGCAAUAAGUGUUCCGCCUGGGGAGUACGGCCGCAAGGCUAAAACUCAAAGGAAUUGACGGGGGCCCGCACAAGCAGCGGA
rnacentral:rRNA from 1 species